CUCUAAAAAAUCACCACCUUUUUUUCUCUCUCUCUCUUCACAUUCAUCAUCUUCAACCCUCCUCAAUUAUCGCUGCUUUUCCCUGAAUUCUGAAACUUUCUCAGAUUUCCAGAUCCUAAAAUUUCCAAUUUUAAUCAACAAAAAAAAAGUUGAAUUGCGAGGAAGAAGAAGAAGAAGAAAAGAGAUGAGCUUUCAAGAUCUGGAAGCGGGUCGUCGGCCACUGGCUUCCAGACGUGAUUUAAUAAAUGUAAAACAACAACAAGACCCAACUCAGGCCGUUGCUUCUGGAAUCUUCCAGAUUAACACAUCUGUUUCAUCUUUUCAACGUCUUGUUAAUACCCUUGGUACACCCAAAGAUACCCCUCAGCUUCGUGAAAAACUCCACAAGACAAGGUUACAUAUUGGGCAAUUGGUAAAGGAUACCUCAGCAAAACUCAAGCAAGCAAGUGAGACAGAUCAUGAAUAUAAUGUCAGUGCAAGCAAGAAGAUUGCUGAUGCGAAACUUGCAAAAGAUUUCCAAGAAGUUUUGAAGGAGUUCCAGAAAGCUCAACGUCUUGCAGCAGAGAGGGAAACAGCAUAUUCUCCUUUUGUUCCUCAGGCUGUUCUUCCUUCUAGUUACACAGCAAGUGAGAUUGACUUGAGUUCAGAUAAGACACCGGAGCAGCGAGCUCUUCUUGUUGAAGCUAGAAGACAAGAUGUGUUACUGUUGGACAAUGAGAUAUCUUUCAAUGAAGCCAUCAUAGAAGAAAGGGAUCAGGGAAUACAGGAAAUCCAGCAGCAAAUUGGUGAGGUGAAUGAGAUUUUCAAAGAUCUUGCAGUGCUUGUCCACGAUCAAGGAGCUAUGAUUGAUGAUAUCGGGUCCAAUGUUGAAAAUUCCCAUGCUGCAACUGCACAGGCGAGAUCCCAACUUGCCAAGGCAUCAAAAACCCAGAAAUCAAAUUCAUCACUGACCUGCUUGCUCUUGGUGAUAUUUGCAAUUGUUCUCCUCAUUUUACUUAUAAUCGUUGCAGCAUGAGGAGUGGUUCUGGAGAUUUACUCUUUAGGAAGGUUUUUUGGUCUGGAAAGAUGCAAAUUAUUCCAUUCUUCCUUUUCUUCUUCCCCAUGUUACCGCGUUUGUUUGGCUGUUGGGAGGCGGGAAACAAGAAAGGGGCGGGGUUGUGUUACUCUAUUCACUUUUUCAGGUUUAGGUGAGUGAUUGUUGUAUCACUUUCAGGUUGCUUGGCAUUUAAACAGAUGCUGGGAAGAUGUUCAGCUGUCUGGUUGAAUGUUUUGGUUGGGUUAUCUCUUAUGUCUAACAGGCGGUCCAGCCGUCCAGGUAAGCUUGAUAGGCUCACAUGGCAGGCUUGGCUGUUGGGGUAGCCCAUGGACUUAAUCGGGUCGGUCCAGGUGACCUAUACAUUGAUCAAUUGUAUUAUUAUUGUCUAUAAAACAUUCCUGAAAAGGCCUGACUAAUUGGGCUAGUUUGAUUGGGGGGUGGAUUAUACGAGUUUGUCUUUUUACCGUGGCCUGCCUGCUAGGUGGACUGAUAUGAGCCUUUUCCGGGCUGGCUGUGAGUGAAACUGGCCUGAUGAGUUCCCUGUGAACACGGCACACUGGCGAGGUAUGAUAAAUCUAUAUCAGAUAUAGGUUUCAUAACCUAUAUCAUGGGCAAUUUUGUCAUUUCAAAUAACUUAGUAAAAUGGAAUGCAAAAGCAAGGGAAUGGGGUAUUCCCCCUCAUUCCAUAAGUUAGUUCAAUCUCUCUCCUCAACCUAACUCCUCAACCUCACUCCUCAACCUCAGUCAUCAUCCCACCCACCGGAGACCCACCCACCAGAACCGGAAGGUUUGAAGCCGGAAUUCGCCGGAAAAUUCGCCGGAAAGAGGCGUAACUGUGUUUUUUCGUGAAUUGAAGCCGAUAGUUUAAUGCAAGUCAGGGUGGUGGAGGAAGAUUUCACAGCGAAAUGGAUAGAUAACAAUGACAUGUUCGUUGUAUUUUGCGCGUCGGAUUGCUUUCUUUUGUAACGAUCUAAUGCAAGUGUAAUUUUAAGUACCUCACUUAGCAUUCUAAUGGUUGUAUGGAUGAUGUUAAGUACUUUGUAUGAUUAUUGUUUUAUGAAUAUGUGAACUUAUCAUUUUGUAUUUAAAAUGAAGCAUCAUAUUGUGUUUA